CCUACGGGAGACAGCAGUGGGGAAUAUUGCACAAUGGGGGAAACCCUGAUGCAGCGACGCCGCGUGAGUGAAGAAGUAUUUCGGUAUGUAAAGCUCUAUCAGCAGGGAAGAUAAUGACGGUACCUGACUAAGAAGCCACGGCUAACUACGUGCCAGCAGCCGCGGUACUACGGAGGGGGCAAGCGUUAUCCGGAUUUACUGGGUGUAAAGGGUGCGUAGGUGGCUGAGCAAGUCAGAUGUGAAAGCCCGGGGCUCAACCCCGGUACUGCAUCUGAAACUGUCGAGCUGGAGUGCAGGAGAGGUAAGCGGAAUUCGUAGUGUAGCGGUGAAAUGCGUAGAUAUUACGAAGAACACCAGUGGCGAAGGCAGCUUACUGGACUGUAACUGACACUGAGGCACGAAAGCGUGGGGAGCAAACAGGAUUAGAUACCCGUGUAGUC
rnacentral:rRNA from 1 species